GUUCCUCCCUCUGUGUCCUGGAGAGUAGAGAAGAGCAGCUCCACCAGUUCAGCUUCAACACAAACCAUGUUCCCUGCAUCUCUGCUGCUGCUGGCAGCUGCCUCCUGUGUACAGAGUUAUGAACUCUCUCAGCCAGCAUCUAUGACUGUCCUGCCAGGUCAACCACUGACCAUCUCCUGUAAGGUCUCAUAUUCAGUUACUAACACUUGGACAGCUUGGAUCCGAAAGCCUGCAGGGAAAACACUGGAGUGGAUUGGAAAUGUAUAUUCUGGAGACACAGAACACAAGGAUUCACUGAAGAACAAGUUCAGCCUCUCAGUAGACUCUAGCAGUAAUACUGUGUUUUUAAAAGGGCAGAACCUUCAGACUGAAGACUCAGCUGUGUAUUAUUGUGCCUACCCUCACAGUGAUACAAACCAGCACAAGAGCUGUACAAAAACCAAACUCUUGGGAUAUGCUCUGAAAAACAAGUUCAGUAUCCCCAGAGACACUUCCAGCAGCAAAGUGACUUUAACAGGACAGAGUCUGCAGACUGAAGACACAGCUGUGUGUUAUUGUGCUCGCUACCCACUGUGAUACAAACAGACACAG